rnacentral:sRNA from 1 species
UGAGGAUGAGAAAAACUUUGAAAAACAUAUGA